AUCUCGAUUGAUUCUGUAGGCAGUUAUAUGCUUGUCUCAAAGGCCAAGCUAUGCAUAUCUAAGUUCAAAUAAAUAUAAUGAUGAUAUCUCGAACGGCUCAUCAUAAAAGGUAUAAUGCUCUUGCUGUUAAUUAUCCAACUUAGAUAACUAUGGCAAUUCUAGAGCUAAUACAUGCAACUUUUGGAUGCUUUAAAAUUUUCACGAUAGAAAGAGUUUCGAAAUACGAAGAGGGGAAGAUUAACAAACAAGAAUACUGGAUUGAUGGCUUGGUAAAACAAGUGGUUAAAAAAAGUGCUUUAUGAUAGCAAUAUUUAAAGCAACAAAUAAAUGAAAGUUGAUGAGUUAGCAGUAAGAGAAAUUAUGGUUUAAGGAAGAAGCAAGCAACUGCUAUGCUUAAUGAAAGGAGUUCUUCUACUAGUAAGAAAAUGAGAGAAUGGAUACAUUUUGCUUAAAAGCAAUCGGAUUAUUAGCCCGUUAGUUGGUGACUCUGGAUAGCUAUGGCUGAUCUCAUGGUCUUGUACCGGCGAUGGAUCUAUGAAGUGUCGGCCUUAUCAAUUUUCGAUGACACUUCUUAAC
rnacentral:ncRNA from 1 species